rnacentral:rRNA from 1 species
UAAGCCCCAGUAAACGGCGGCCGUGGCUAUAACGGUCCUAAGGUAGCGAAAUUCCUUGUCGGGUAAGUUCCGACCCGCACGAAAGGCGUAACGAUUUGGGCACUGUCUCAACAACAGACGCGGUGAAAUUGUAAUUCCGGUGAAGAUGCCGGAUACCUGCGACAGGACGGAAAGACCCCAUGGAGCUUUACUGUAGCUUGACAUUGGGUCUUGGUACUACAUGUACAGGAUAGGAGGCUUUGA